rnacentral:sRNA from 1 species
GUCAGGCAUGGUGGUGCAUGCCUGUAAUCCCAGCAGCUCAGGAGGCUGAAGAAGGAGGAUUGCAAGUUCAAGGGGAGCCUCAGCAAUUUAGCAAGGCCUUGGGCAAUUUAGUGCAACUCUGUCUCAA